rnacentral:lncRNA from 1 species
GCCACGGCUGCUGCCCUGUCCUCAGGGGAGUUUACUCGUUUCUUAAAGUGAGGAUGAGUUUCUCAAGACGACAACAAAAAAGUGCCCUGUGGAGGCUGGCGGGAGAACUCUUCUUCCUGUAUCGGAUCAGUUCUGCUGCUUCGGCUCAUGUUACAGGCGUUUUGGAAACUGACCCUUGCAAACUCUGACUUGUGAAAAAUUGGAUUCCCCAUGAACACAGAAGGAUUUGAGUUGCUUGUCAUCAACACCUCACGGACAGAGUUUUGCAGCAGUGGAACGACAGGACGAGGAGGACGUGAAUGCAAAAGUUAUUUUACAGGAAAUGGAUGAUUCUGUGGAAAUGAGGAGAGAGGUUUCAAUCCAUGGAUUGGUGGUGUACCUCAGAGAAAAGGAGGAGAAGCUCUUUAAAGAGCAGUCGGUUGAUCGGGAUCUCACCAACGAAGUGUUGAAAAUCAUUGUAACCAGAGGUGCCUCAUCUGAUCCAGCCAGCGCUCAGAUUGGAACGGUGGGAACAGAAGUCCUGGAAGAAGUAGACGUACCCAGAGCCUGUGCCUUGCUAAUGGGACUGAUCUACUCACUCAAUCUCAGCUACCCAAAGGAACUAAAAAACACCUUUGAAGUGUUUCAAAAGGUAUUUCUUGAGCUGGAUAGCCUGAAAGCAAGCCCGAAAGUAAUGUCUCUGAAAAUUAAACUGCUGUUCUAAAAUAUCUGAAGAUUGUCUACUAUUUGAGCAGGAAAUGUCAUUUGUUAAUACACUGUGUUUAAAUGUUUUUAAGGUUUACUUAAAGUACACUAAGUUUACACCUAUAAUGGACUCUGGGACGUAAUUUUGGGGGACGGGACGGGUGGGACAUGUCCCCCCCACUUUUUCAAAAGGCAGUUUUGGUCCCCUGCACUUUUUUCCGUCCAAAAACAAUAUUACGCUCCAUUAAAUGGAUUUGGUUGAGCACUAGGACCGAAACGGAAACCGGUUUCCUAUUAGACCCGCCCAAAAGCUAAUCUAUUGGCUCUGCUGAUACUUGCUAACGUAUUAUUGGCUGUUGCUGCUGUCACUCAAGUUGUAAACAGAACGUGCUCACGUUGUUUUGCUAGUUUGGAGCCGCUAGGGAACACCGGUACUGAGUCACAUCGUCAACUAGACGCUGUGUAAUAUCAGAGCUCAGCUCAGCUUCCAUUACAUAACAUUUGAAUAAGUGUUCAUUUGUGAGUCUUUGGUAGUUAGGCACAGCCAGGAGGCAGCAUGUCAAGAAAACGAAAAGUGGAUAUAAGAGACUUCUUUCAAAGUCAAAACGUAAGUUGGAACAUGUGACACCCCUGCAUUAAGCUCAGACUCACCUCCUCCUUCACAAACAUACUCAAAACUAACUUUUACAAACUCAUCUCCUCCACAUAACUGACUCCUCAGACACAAUUUAUUCGUAUUAUUAUAAUUAUUAUUUUUUUAUUAUUACUAUUAUCAUCAUAAUUAUUAUUACUAGUAGUAGUAGUAGU